rnacentral:lncRNA from 1 species
AUAGUUCUUGAUACAAUUUCCAAGUGCUGUGAUAAGGUUGGAUUAACUGUUAAUCCAGCAAAGACUAUAAUUAUACCUUUUACACAAAGAAGACAAUUGAUGAGACUUAUUGAACAACACUUUUUGGCAAAAGAUUAUAAUUUUCUACUAAAGUCAAAUAACUUAGUGUCAUGUUAGAGAAGGGAUUGAUUUGAAAACCAUAUUCAGACAUUAUUGUUGUGAAAGCCUGUAAAGCUCUAUGGGCUUGAGAGGCAUUUUGGAUAAGGUGUGGUACUUAAACCUGGGUUACUAUACUGGAUAUAUAUCAUGGUUGUGAGACUCAUUAUUACUUACACUGCCAUUAUUUGAUGGCAAAGAGUUUUGUUAAAAACUUGAAGAUUUGAACUCAAAAAGAAGGAUGGUCUGUCUGAGCAAAACAGGAGCUAUGAGUACUGCUCCUACUGCUGCUCUUGGAGUCUCUUGGACAUUUUUCCUUUGCAUUUGUGUGUUGAGGCUAGUGCCCAGGAAGAUUAUUAUAGGUUCCAUUGUCAUAGGAGAAGGAUUUCUUGAAUCCACAAAAUGGAGCAUUCAUUUUUUGAAUGGGACAAAUCACACAGUCACAUUCUUGAAAUA